UGGGGAAUAUUGCACAAUGGGCGAAAGCCUGAUGCAGCGACGCCGCGUGAGGGAUGACGGCCUUCGGGUUGUAAACCUCUUUCAGCAGGGACGAAGCGCAAGUGACGGUACCUGCAGAAGAAGCACCGGCUAACUACGUGCCAGCAGCCGCGGUAAUACGUAGGGUGCAAGCGUUGUCCGGAAUUACUGUGCGUAAAGAGUUCGUAGGCGGUUUGUCGCGUCGUUUGUGAAAACCAGCAGCUCAACUGCUGGCUUGCAGGCGAUACGGGCAGACUUGAGUACUGCAGGGGAGACUGGAAUUCCUGGUGUAGCGGUGAAAUGCGCAGAUAUCAGGAGGAACACCGGUGGCGAAGGCGGGUCUCUGGGCAGUAACUGACGCUGAGGAACGAAAGCGUGGGUAGCGAACAGG
rnacentral:rRNA from 1 species